rnacentral:lncRNA from 1 species
GGGAAGCUCCCAGUUCUAAAGAGAGGCUGUUUACCAGAAGAGCAUAACAGGGGCCGGCCAGUCUGACUGCAAGGAGACAAAACUGCUGCCAAGGAGGACCCCCCCCCCCCAUUUGGACACUGGCUGUUGAGUCACCUGCGAGCCGAAGAGACGAGGAUGCUGUUGGCUUGGGUACACACAUUUCUUCUCAGCAACAUGCUUCUGGCAGAAGCCUAUGGAUCUGGAGGUGAGAUUACGUUUUCUCCCCCUUUCUGCAGCAACUUAAAUGAAACAGAUUCCCCAAACGUGGUCAGGCCGACAGGGAAGGAAGGUUUUGGCUGCUUUUCUCGUUAUCCUACGAAAGCAUUCUUCUCUCCUCUCUCCUUCCUUGCCAGAGGCUUGCAGCUCCAUCUUUGCCAUUAAGAACAAAGACAAGUAGUCACUUUCUCUUUCCCUUUCCUUUCACACGAGUGGAUGGAGUGGAAUUCGUCUCUUCUACUCCCCAGAGUCUUACCCUUUUAAAGUCCGUUUGCUUUGUGUGGCAGGCGCACGAACCUCCCCUCUCCAGCCUCCUCCCGUGGCUCUCUGCUGAGGGGAGUGGGAGCUUAAGAGAUGAGGCAGAGACCCUCAGCUGGGGUCUCUAUUGGAUCUUUUGCUUCCCUGAAUCAAAGGCUUUUGUGGAAUUCUCUUGGGAGCUGGCGGUGUCUGUUAAACUAGCAGAAAGUGGCUGUAUUCGUAGAGAAGGGAACACCAGUUUAUAUAACAUUGACUUCUCAACACUGGGAUGACUUCCAUGUCUGACUGCCCAGAACCAAACUCACCAUCUCCACAGAAAGACCUUAGGGAGAAAGACCUUCUUGUACCUUCAAAGUGGUCCCAAGUCCAAGAAUAACAACCCUUUGCAGUUGUGCAGCGAUCUUAAGCUUUUUUAAAAGGAAGGAAGGAAGGAAGGAAGGAAGGAAGGAAGGAAGGAAGGAAGGAAGGAAGGAAGGAAGGGAAGGGAAGGGAAGGGAAGGGAAGGAAGAAGAAAGCUAAAUCGAGUGUUGUGUGUGGACCAAACGCCGCCAGGGGCGUGACACUCUGAGGUACACAGGGCUUUCUCCCGCGGGGCCAGAGAAACGCACUAAGAGUCUCGGGCGGGUUCCUCUUCCUCAUAGGCUGCUUCUGGGACAACGGCCACCUGUACCGGGAGGACCAGCCCUCGCCCGCGCCGGGUCUCCGCUGCCUCAACUGGUUGGCCGCGCAAGGCAGCCGCGAGUCGCUCACCGAGCCCAGUGAGUGUCCGCCGGGGAGGCGGGCGGGGUUGGUGGGCGGCGGCCGCGGCCCUUGACUCCUCUUCUCCCCACCUCAGGCCCGGGCAACCACAACUACUGCCGGAACCCGGACCAGGACCCGCGCGGGCCCUGGUGCUACAUCAGCAGCGAGACCGGCGUCCCUGAAAAGCGGCCCUGCGAGGACGUGAGUUGCCCAGGUACUCGCCCUGGGACCACGGGUAAGGGACUCCAGCCCUGUGCGCCGAGCAGCGCUGCAGCGGUUACACCCGCCGCGCACGUGCGGCCGCUCGACGCCCGUCCCGCCCCGUCCCCACCCCCGCGCCGUCCGAUUGGCCAGAGCUAUCUCCAGGCAGCGGAGCUCAAAGCCCAUUGGCCGCCGCAGCAUUCGGAGUGAGCUCAUCCUCUGCGAGCGCUUGUAAACAACGGUGGGAGGCAGCUUGCCUGCCUGUUCCGCCAAGCGCCCCGCCAGCCUUUACUGUGUAGCGGAUGCUGUGAGCCAGGCCCCAUGCUCACAGUCCCCGGGGAGAAGCUGUGUGAGGGCUCUGAGUCACCCAGAAGUUUGACCACCUGCCAAAGGCAAUGGGUGUGUUCUGAUUUGAAUUCAAAGCUUUUAGACUUCAGAAAACUAAAAUAGUUCUCUAGGAUUAGAUGAGGUGGUCAAGGUUAAGCACUUAACACUGGGAUUGGCAGGAAUCUUGUACGCAGUGUGGAUUGUCUUCUGCUGUGAAGACCUGUGCAGUCUCUGGAGAAACCGCGUGGCAAUCCCAGCAAGGUGUUGGAAGAUCACAAAGACUGAAGCAGACAAGUGGGAGGCCAGAGAGAGGCUAUUGUUUCUUGAGACCAUUUCCUCACAUUUGCCUUGUAAUAUCCCAGCAUCCGUGCAGCCCUUUCAGGCCUGAUUUUGCCCCUGGGGCAGGGGAGUUGUUUUCCCCCUUUCUGUUUUUGUGAUAGGAUCUCAUUUUGCGGCCGGCUUGUUUGGCUGGCAGGGAUUCACAGAGAUGUUCCUUAAUUCAGGUGUUCACCACCACUCCUGGCCUGGGGCAGGAUUUGAUAUCAGUUUAGGGGAGCAUUUUAGGGAAGACCCUUCCCGAAACAUCCCCAACAGUCUUGUCAGGUUUGGCUGUAGAAUGCACUUAGGACAGUCUUUGAUGAGAGCUAUUUCUCACCUCACCUCCAGAGACCACUUCCCAAGCACCACCGCCAUCCUCUGCCAUGGAGCUGGAAGAGAAGUCUGGUGCACCAGGUGACAAAGAGGCACAGGUGUUCCCUCCUGCUAACGCCCUACCAGCCAGGAGUGAGGCAGCCGAGGUGCAGCCAGUGAUCGGGAUCAGUCAGCUUGUGAGGAUGAACUCCAAGGAAAAAAAAGACCUAGGAACUCUGGGUAUGGCUACGUGGGAUGGGGUUCCUCAGAUGAUAUCAUUGGCUGAUUGUCCAGGGUGUGGCUAAUGGGACCUGGUGUCCUGUCCUUUGCAGGCUACGUGCUGGGCAUUACUAUGAUGGUGAUCAUCCUCGCUAUUGGAGCUGGCAUUAUCGUGGGCUACACUUACAAGAGGUGGGUCCUUUCUCCUCCUGGAUCUCUCGGGAUAGGGCUAAGGAAGACAUGAAAACAAUAUCACAUCAGCUUCUUGGCGUCUUUCAAAAGGAAGUAAGGCAUUGAAUCAAAAUCAGCUCAAUAGUAGAGAUUUGGUUUUAGUCACUGCCUGGUGAUCUUGGGCCCUCAGGGCAAGGAAUCCUCCUGUCUCAACCUCUUGGAAAAUGGGAUUUCUGAGCCCUUGUCAUCAUGCUCCGAAGGAAAAGAGAUUCAUUUUGUUGAGUUUUAAAAUUUUGCUACUAAGAUAGGUGUCCUGCUUCAUACAUACUCUAAUCCCAGAACUCAGGAGACUGAGGCAGGAGGUUUACAAGUUUGGAAACUGAGGCUCUGUUUCAAAAAG